GAAAAACAGCCUUCAUAAUUCUGACCCAUGGUUUUGACACUUGGCAUAGAUACUGACUCACCAAGAAGUGUUCUACAACUGAUCAGGCAAAAAGGGAUGGGUCACUGCAUGAUGUCAACACCGUAGCAUGUUGUCAACACCGUAACAUUUCUUUUUAUGAGACAUUCGAAUCCGAAUGAACGGCUGUAUUCAGAAAUGACAUAUUUGUAGAAAAAAAUACAUUAUAAAAUUAUAGGAAUUCAUGGAGCUUUGGCCCAUCAGAAUUAUUAUAGAAGACAAUGUCUAAAAACAAUCUCCCCUACGACACAGCACCAGUCAGCAUAAAUGUGAAGAAAGACGAUAAACAAUCUCAACAAAGCUUCAUUUUCAUCUGUUACGUAUCAAGGACAGUAUUUGUCAAUCAAAGCAAAUGUAUUGUAGAAUUUUAGUUAUCUGUCUUUGAUUAUUCACCAAUUAUUUAAACAUUUCCGAUUAUCAAAGACAUACGGGCUUCCAUUUUUGCAGUGGGAGGAGGGAAGCUUGUUUGUGCCCGAAUUAAAUGAAAAUCUCCGAAUCUGGAUAACAACAUUUAGUUAUAUUUGAGUUACUAUCAAACAGCUAUAUAGUGUUGCAAACUAAUUUCUACGCAUUGUUACAUGGAUUACAACAAAUGUUUAGGGUAGAAUGAUGGAAAUACAUGCUAAAAAGGUCUCAGGUUAGCACAUUUUUCCCGAAUAUCUCUAUAAUUUUUACCCGAAUUUGAGUUUUUGCUCCAGAACUAGGCGGAAGAAAACUGUUGCCCCCGCCCCCUGUCUCGUACACAUAUCUGAGUCUCUGCCCCCAUGUCUCGUACGUUUAUGCCCAUGAUCUACCGUCUGUUACGGUGUUGACUAACUGUCAGACGCCGUACCGGAAAAGGUUGAGCAAAUUAAUAAAAUCCUACCUAAAGAUCACUGCUUGAACUCGAAACACCACCUUACCACAGAGAUAACCGAGAUAAGGCAUUGCUGUAAAGCACCAUACAUUUAACACAUUAUUUUUUACAAGAGCUUAACUAUGCAAACUGACACAUUCUGAGAGAAUCGUCCAUUAUUAAAUUUAUUUAUACGAACGUUAUUCAUACUCGGAUAUUAUGACUGAUGCUAUUAGUAAUAUGAAUUUGAAAUAGAUUUUCGCAACUUUUAUCUAUGCAUGUCUUUACCAACAUGUGUACAACUAUUUAAAACUAAAAAAAAACUACUAAUGAACAGUGCUUAUAUGCAAAUGUGUUAAUGUC